rnacentral:rRNA from 1 species
UACGUAGGGGUCUAGCGUUGUCCGGAAUUAUUGGGCGUAAAGAGCUCGUAGGCGGUUCGGCAAGUCGGAUGUAAAAUCUCCACGCUUAACGUGGAGGGGCCAUUCGAAACUGCCGUGACUCGAGUCCGGUAGGGGAGUUCGGAAUUCCCGGUGUAGCGGUGAAAUGCGCAGAUAUCAGGAAGAACACCCGUGGCUAAGGCGGCUCUCUAGUACGGUACUGACGCUGAGACGCGAAAGCGUGGGGAGCGAACAGG